UGGGUAAUCUUGUGAAACUUCAUCGUGAUGGGGAUAGAGCAUUGCAAUUAUUGCUCUUCAACGAGGAAUCCCUAGUAAGCAUGAGUCAUCAGCUCAUGCUGAUUACGUCCCUGCCCUUUGUACACACCGCCCGUCGCUACUACCGAUUGAAUGGCUUAGUGAGACCCUCGGAUCGAUAAGUGGAAACCUUCACAGGUAUCCUUUUGUUGAGAAGUUGGUCAAACUUGGUCAUUUAGAGGAAGUAAAAGUCGUAACAAGGUAGCCGUAGGUGAACCUGCGGAAGGAUCAUU
rnacentral:rRNA from 1 species